GAUGAACGCUGGCGGCGUGCCUAAUACAUGCAAGUCGAGCGAACAGACGAGGAGCUUGCUCCUCUGACGUUAGCGGCGGACGGGUGAGUAACACGUGGAUAACCUACCUAUAAGACUGGGAUAACUUCGGGAAACCGGAGCUAAUACCGGAUAAUAUAUUGAACCGCAUGGUUCAAUAGUGAAAGACGGUUUUGCUGUCACUUAUAGAUGGUUCCGCGCCGCAUUAGCUAGUUGGUAAGGUAACGGCUUACCAAGGCAACGAUGCGUAGCCGACCUGAGAGGGUGAUCGGCCACACUGGAACUGAGACACGGUCCAGACUCCUACGGGAGGCAGCAGUAGGGAAUCUUCCGCAAUGGGCGAAAGCCUGACGGAGCAACGCCGCGUGAGUGAUGAAGGUCUUCGGAUCGUAAAACUCUGUUAUUAGGGAAGAACAAAUGUGUAAGUAACUUUGCACGUCUUGACGGUACCUAAUCAGAAAGCCACGGCUAACUACGUG
rnacentral:rRNA from 1 species